UUUUUAACCGUAGCUCCAAAUGAGGUGAAACCAACGCUCACUUCUUCGUUUCGUCGAGCCCAUUCAGCCCUCUCCGUGAGAGUACGAUUAUGUUUUCACUAUGGUUUGACACUGUGAAAAUGACCAUUAUGCCCUUGCCCUUAUUCAGCCCUCUCCGAGAGAGUACGAUUUCCGGCGAUUCUUUCCGCGAGCUUCUGACACUUUCUCCCGGUGAUUUCUUCAUCCCCAGGCAAGCCACAAUACCCACUUGCAUGAUAAUCAUGCAGUAGCCAUGGUUUUCAACUUGAAUCUUUAUUAAAUAUUUGCUCGUUGAAAAGAUGGUUAUCUUUAUUCCGGUAAUGUUUAGAUUUUCAUGUUCACUUUUGUGCUAUGUUGUCUUGCUCUGUCAUCAUGUUAUACCUGCUAGUAUUUCCUUUCAUAUGUUUAUGCUUGCUAGUAGUACAUGUUGAUGUUGGUAAUGGUCGUGCUAGUCAGUAUGCCAUGCUCAGUGGAUAUGAUUUAUUGUUGAUAUGGUGGAUAGUUAUGUGAUACUCUCAUGAUUAUGUUGAUAUCAUGUUCAUGCAUUUUAUCACGGCUCAGCAUAUUUGCAUUCAAGUUAACCGGAUUAAAUUGAACUUGAACACCUGUUGGCUGAGUCAUGGUGCCGCUGAAAUGAUACCGACCACUGCAACCACGCUUACCGAUAUGGGACGGUCCUAACUGGGUCUAUUGUCGCGCGUCUCACUGGUGCUUCCAACGAGGGAAGGUUAUGGGCGCGUGCUACCCUGGUCAGGUAGGCGGACAUAAGCCUUGUGUGCCAGUUGUUGAGUUAAGUGUUUGGGUCCCAGAGUGGAUCAUUGCCACGACGGUGGUUUUGAGGUGUCUUGAGGUAGGCACAGGGCCACCCAUGACUUAGACUAGAGGGGAGUUAGUCAGAGUGGCCGGGAGAGUGUCCUGGCAGCAGAUCGGUUUUGCCAGAACGCCGUUGGUACACCAGAAUGAGAGUGUGAGGCCAUGGGUUCCGUAGUGUGGGUGCAAUGUACUACCUCUACAGAGUGUAUAUUAAAUCUAUAGAUAGCCGCGCCUACAGAUAAGGGCCCAGGUCGAAAGUAGGUCACACCGUGUGUCAACAGUAAUAAGAAUAAUGUGCUUAAUAACAAUGAGAUAAGUUGGUUGUGAUCGCUGUAAGGAUCACGGGCCAUUUAUUGGUCGGGUUGUGAUCGUCGUAAGGAUCACGGGCCAAGUAUUGGUCGGGUUGUGAUCGCCGUAAGGAUCACAGGCCAAGUGUUGGUCGGGUUGUCAUCACUGUAAGGAUCACGGUGGUAUCAAGGAUACCGAGUUGUUGUAUAUUCGUGAUGUUGUACGAGAAUCGUGGGUAAAGGUCAAGCUCCUUGUGGUCAUUUAAUGAUUACUACGGUAUUGUUUAUACCAAGCUUGAUUUGAUCCUGAGAUGAUCGUGUGAUGUCCGAGGAUGGUAAGUGAUGCAUGUGUUGGUUAUGAGGUAACCCGAGCAGAAUAAGUGGUGCAUGUAGUGUCAUCAUGUUGCAUGCUAGUAUUGUCAGAUUAAUAUGUUCAUGUUGUGUGAGCCGUAUCAUGUUCAUCUUGUUCAUGCUAUAAUGUUCUAAUGAUAUCAUGAUAAUUCCUGUUUAACCAGUAAUUUCCAUGCCGUUGUAUGUAUUGAAUGCUUCUGGUUAUUGUGAGCUUGCAAGUACAUUCAAUGUACUAACCUGGCGUGUCAUGCCAGCUUGCAGGUCAUGCCGGAUUUGAUUGCUUGCUUGUCGUGGUUUCCGUUCGUGUGAGCUAGGAUAAGCGUUCCAGCCAGAGUCCCUGCGGAGUGGAGCUCACCAUCGUCUUCGUUGUUCCGCUGCUAGAGUUAUUCCGCUGCUUCGAGUUGUUCUGCUGCUUGCAUAGAGCAACUGAGGAUGGCGUGGUGUCGCCUUACAGAUGUUAUUCAUUGUAAUAUCGGAGACCUUGUAUUCAUAUACGUGUAAUAAUAAAGAGCUGGUUUGAUCUAUGCUAAGCAGUGUCGUAUUCCAGAAGACUUCAUCUUGAUCUCUCGGCCAGAAUACGUGGCGUUCCAGUUUUCUCUGAGCCGGGUUGCCACAGACUUGGUAUCAGAGUAGGUCUGGCUGUAGGACGCCCUAGACCGCGUGAACGUUAGAAAGUGGUAGUAUAGAGUCUGGUUUGUUGAUUGCACUUGAUUGCUGCAUUUGUUUGUUGCAUAGCAUGCAUAUAGCAUUAUUAUUUGUUACUAACGGUUUAUCUGGUGAGUGUAGCUGGCAUCGGUUCGGAUCCACUACAACUCAACCUUUGCAUUUCUCCAGUUCCUUUUUCUUUCGGUGUUUGGUGUCAUUUCUGUCCCAGCAGAGUGAUGCCAAGUGAUCCCGACACUGUUUGCAAAAAUGGUGCUCAGGUAUCGCACCGAUGUCUUUCUUUCAGUCCCGUCUAUCGUUUCGGGGAUGGACAUGCUUCUAUCCCGGAUCGUUCUUUUAUUUCGUCGUGUUGGCAACCCUUAAUGAUCUUAGUUAUCAAGAAAGGGCAAUGUUAGCAGCCUCAGUUUUUCCCCGCAAUCCUAUUUCUUGGACGAGUACGGAUCUUUUUCCGUCCGCUUGAUAGUAAUGUAGUUGCGACCUUCAUGUCCCACUACAUGAUUACUGAGUACGUCCUGACCUGCGAGCUAGUUCAGGUUGCCACCUGGCUACGCUAGCACUUGGUGUAGCGCUAUUUACACGAAUUCUUCCACAUAUUUAUUCGUCCUCGUGCACAUCGUCACAUCAUGUUAGAUCGUAGUACCGGAGAUUCCGCGAGAUUUGUGUGCUUAGGUGUGCAUGCAUAUUAUUGUGUGAGUAGCAGUAAUAUGUGAUGAUUGCUUGAUUAAUUAUAUUAGUAGAAUGCUUGUGUGCUUUUGUUUUAGUCGUUUCUGUUGUUCCUUUCUUUGGGCCUUCGGUGUUACAAAUUUUUCCCCUAUUAAAGUUGCUCGUCAGCCGACACCGGACCCGAAGAGUCAGCAAGAAAUGCAUAUAUUUGGAAAUUCAGCUAAACAAGAUGGAAUUAUUAGCAGACUGCAGUGAAAUUGGGAAUAUCUUGUCGGGAUGCAAAAGAAAUCCUGGAUGGACCGUUAGUAUCAAGUUUGCAUUAGCGUGCACUCAUCACCACAAAAUGAUUAAAUCAGCAAGAAGAUAAAUUGUGUGCAAGGUUGACAGAAUAUUAUCAAAGGUAUGGCUCAGAUACAUGUUUAAUUUUUUGUUGAGGAUAAUUUUGGAACUCGAUGUACCUGGAAGCAAGCAAAAAUAUGGCAUAUACUCAGAAAGGAGGAUAGUCCUACAAAACCCCGUUUCAUGCAAGGAAUCAACAUCAGAAAUAUUAAAAUGGUAUGUAUAUGUGGAAAUCGGUCCGCAUAUCACAAUGAGAAGCUUCUGGUGUAAGCAACCCAAUCUUCCCUCUCAAGAUACCCAAGAGGCUUCCAAGGCGAGAUUCAUCUAUUUUCCUCAGUACGAUACAUGGAUGACUUCUCGCGUAAGGUACUCUGCCUUCUUCAAUAAGCAACCGCAAAAGCUUCCAGCAUAAGGUACUGAGUCUUUCCCCAGCAAAGUAUUUAAGGGGGUAAGCUUCUGAAGCACGAUACCCAGUCUUCUUUAGCAAUUUGUCCGAUGAAAGUUUUGAGCACAAGCCAGCAAAUAUUCCUCAGUAAGACAUUGGUACAAGGUAGUAUGCUGUGAAUUGACAGCAUAUGGCAGUAAAUCCCAAGAAUCAGAUCGGCAACAUUUUGGUCAGAAUCAAGAAUCAGUCAGAAUACACGUCUAUCUCGGAAUCAGGUCCUCAUAUAUAUGCAAUGAGCAUACCAUCAAGAUCUUACAAGUCACUUGGAUGAGGAUCUGACAACCACGUGAGGAUGGUUAAUAGAAGAAAGCCAGUAUACACUGUAGUGUGACAAAGGAUUAUGAGGACUGACGACAUUAGUGAGCUCAAUACAAGUACCCGUGAACCUGGAAAAUGAUCCUGAUGAGCCCUUGUCCCCUUUUUCUCCAAUGACGGCACCACGCCUGUGAUCUUAGCUAUUUCUAGCUAUCCGGGGUGGAUGCCUAUUUUUGUUUCUCUCUUCAACAACUGUCACGAGUUCUGAGCUGCUUUUCGGCCGUCUCAUAUAUUUGUUGAGUUUCUUUUUGUGACAGUAGCCCUAUAGUUGCUUUUUGGCUAUUUUAGGGAGCUGCCACCUUCUUCUUAUCGACCCGGACUCAUGCUCUGAGUUGCUUUUCGGCCAUCCUGAGCCGUGGUUGAGUUAUUUCAGUAAUGUCCUAGAUCUGAGUUGUAAAGACCGUUCUGGUGGCUACUGAUUUAUUUGCCGAUUUCCUGCAAGGGUUUAGGAUGAUCAUUUCCCAACAAUCAGAACUCAAGAGGUGUUGAACCUGCCAUUUAAUGGGUUACCCUAUCAGAAAAAUGAGGAUAAACUACAAUUGCCGAAAAAUUGCACCGACGGUACCUAUGGUCAUACAAAGAAACAAUAUGGCCUAGCUCUUUCAGCCAAAGAUCCAGACCAAGAAAACGAUAAUGAAGGAGCAAGACCAGUGAUGCAGGUAUGAAAAUUGUACACGACCCCCAUGGUGCAGAUCCCCUGGACAGUCUAAGUCGGUAUUGAUCCACAUGGAUAUGCCUACAACAUGAGUAAUCGGCAUGAGGAAUAACAAUCUCAAAGCCCGAGUCCUCACUUAUACGAAUCAUCAUGGAUAGCCUGUCGUGAACAAUAUUUUUCCUUCAGAACCGCUGUCAGUUAAGUCUGCAGAUAUUAUCAUACAGGCCAAACCCUUUAUGCCGGCCGCGACAGGAGACAAUCAAAUAUUUGGUAUGGAUCCGAUACUCAUGACAGUGGAACCGGUUAAGAUGAUUCAAAAACUUCUGCGAUGAGUCAGAAUCUAUCAGGAAAUGGUUAUGUUUUAACUCACUGUUUGGAACCCAAAGGACCUACAUUUAGUGGAGAAACCCAAUGCAAUGAGUCAGAGCUUGAGUUUUCAUCAGAAAAUUCUGAUUAUCAUUACAUGAAAGGUUGUCACUGCCGGGUGGCACACCCAGCAGAAAUCACUUUCGGAUUUGUGAGACGGACAUAUAUUUCAGUCGUGAUAAUUAAAUCACACUCAGCUAGUCAGCAGAUCUAAAAAGAAAUUGGAACCUGUAUAAGCAUGAACAAGCAAGGUAAGAUCUGCCAGAAUGUGGAUACAGUAAAGAAAACCACCCAGGGCCAGUCAGAUAAAAAUUUAGUGGGAACAACAAUAAAGGAGAAAGGAUACCCGAGUUGGAAAUGGUUUCCUUAAGUCGAAAUAUUCAUACUAGUUCCCUGAGCAACCAAAUCUCGAGGAUGAGAUUUCUUUAAGGGGGUAAGGUGUGUGACAGCCUGAUUUUUGGCCCUUUCUUUUUCUUUUGUUUUUCCAAGGUUUUUGCCUGAGUUUUCUUUUUACGUGGCUUUGUGGUCUGGAAACUGAAGAAGAUGCCCUCUUCUUUGCUUCCAGAGUGGCUUGUCAUUCCCAAAUCUUUCCAUAGACCCUGUCAUUUUCAUCCUAGCCCAAAUCCGAAUAUUCUUUUUUAUUGGGAAUAUUCCUUUUCUAUUAAAGGAAUAACUCGAAUUGCCCUAGGUUGUGAAGCAACCUAUAUUUCCAUCACUCCAAAAAUCCCAAAUAAUUGUCAUAAAUUGUUUGGGUCAUAUCUUGAUCAAAUAUGGCAAAACUUUUCAUUGCCAUGUUCAAAAAUAAUUCCCCAAUAUUCCUUUUCUAUUCUGCCCUAAAUGGCACUUUGUGAAGGAAGUGUCAUUUAUAUUUCUCCUAGUGGCUCCCAACCUUUUUGGGAAUGUUUAUAUGUCCAAAUAAUUGCCCCAUGCACAAGUUCAAAUUUAUUUGCCUAGCCAAUCUUCCUUAGUGAAUUUUCAAAGUUUUUGUCAAACAGAAGGCUUUGUGAAGGAAGUACUAGCUAGGAGUACCCAAAUGAGUUGAACUUUUGCACACUCCUUAAUGUGCUCAUAUUAAACCCUUCCACCCAUUUGCAGCCACAUCCAAUCAAUUAUGUGAGCACAGGAGAAAAUCUUUGUUUCUGGCAAUAUUUUUAGGUUGCGAAGCAAGAUUAUUUUAUAUUGCUUCAAAAAUCCUGAUAAAUUACCAGAUCAUUCCUAUAUCCAUAAAACAUCUCUCCACCAAAUUUGGCAUCAUUUCAUUGAUCCAUUUGAUCACCAAAAUUAUUUCAAGUUUCUGGUCAGCAGAGAUGUUUGUGAAGCAAGUACCAGUUUGGCUUUGCCCAAUUGUAUGAUACUUGGUGAGCAUCUUCAUAUGACCAAAUGACUCAGCUUUGCCCAAGUGGACACUCCAUGUGAGAGCAUCAUCAUGAUCUUCAUUUCUGGACCAAAAAUGCAGUUGUGAAGCAACUAUAUUCAUUCUUGGUCCAUUUCCCCUCAAAACUUCCAGGAUCAUAGUCCCUCCAUAGAUAAACACCCCAGACAACCUACCCAUAGCAUAUCCCUGUUAAUCACACUGAGCUGAUAAAGUUUACAGGAGUAAACUUCAGAGCUCACUAACCUUUUAACCGUAGCCUGUUUAACCAAGUUACCACCGUAGUUACAACCUACCCAGGAAGGACUAACCCCCAGACAUGGUCUGGCAUCACUUGUGGCACUGUGUGCACCAGUGCACGCGGUGACCACCGCUUUGGCAUGCCAUGAGCGUGUCUAGAGCACUGUUUGUGCUGGACCCCCUCCUCCUCUUGCUGUAUUCGCGCUCGUGAGCAUGUUCAUUGUCUUCCUCUCGUCGUCGCCGUUCCCCUGGACCCCUCUCUCCCCUCCGUCCGCUUGCUCACCGACGCUCGCCGCCAUGUGAACACGAGCGUACAGUGGCGUUUUGGAUCCGUUCGUCGUCGUCGUCUUCCUCCCUGCGCCCCCUUGGCCUCCUCUGCCCCGUGAGAGCCCCCACUGCUCCUCCUAUGUCGUUUGCCCCCGAGUCCAUGCGCGCGAGCACGCGUCAAAGGCGCUGGACACGCGUCCACGGUGGUGCCAGCGCGGCCUCCUCGUCCUGCGGCUAUAUAGGCCCUCCCCGAGCCUCUCCAAGCUCACCACUGGCCUCCUACACCUCCACUAGCCCCGCCCAUGCUCUUUCACGAGCUGGAGAACCUUUCCUCGUCACAAACCAUCGCCAUGGCCGCCGCAAAUCUCGGCUCAAGUUCGAGCUCCCCAGUCCCCUGCUCCACCCACUGACCUCACCCGAGCCUUCCUCGUGCCCUGUAGAACUUCUCCACCACCCACCCUCUCGCCGGAGCCAUGCUUAGCCGCCGCCCUUCGAACAGCCGCCGCCGCCUUGUCCUCUGUUACCCCAAGCCGCGGCCGCCCUAUUCUCCCUCAGCCGGGCGUGAGACGGCUGGAGCAGCCCGCCCCAUCACCGGCAGCGCGCUCCUCCCGUGCCUCCUCUGUUCCUGUCGGGGGCAAGGAGAGGAGGAAGAAGACAGGGGCCAGGUGGGACCCCCUGCGCGUGGGACCCCCCAGUCAGCCUCCCAGCGCGUUGACCCCGCAGUCCAGCGUGGAUAAGUGAUGGGCGCCACCCCGUGGGACCCGCAUGUCAGCAUUGACCAGCCCCUCCGCUGUUCAAAUGGAUAAGGUGAAAGCCUAUUUCUCUGAUUAUGUUUUCACUUUUUUCUGUUCAGGCCCUUGGUUGAAAAUAUUUUCAUUACAGAUGGGUCCCUGGCAGAAAAACAUCCAUAUCUUUUUAACCGUAGCUCCAAAUGAGGUGAAACCAACGCUCACUUCUUCGUUUUGUCGAGCCCGUUCUGUUGGUCAUGCUUUCACUAUGGUUUGACACUGUGAAAAUGACCAUUAUGCCCUUGCCCUUAUUCAGCCCUCUCCGAGAGAGUACGAUUUCCGGCGAUUCUUUCUGCGAGCUUCUGACACUUUCUCCCGGUGAUUUGUUCAUCCCUAGGCAAGCCACAAUACCCACUUGCAUGAUAG
rnacentral:lncRNA from 1 species